AAAAACUUAGGUUAACUUAAACCAAGGGCCUUCAAAGCCCUAAACAAGGACACUACUGCCUUAGUUUUUG
rnacentral:tRNA from 1 species